ACAGUAGCCUAUUAAAAAAAAUGGGUCAGCAUAUGGAAUUAAUAUAUCCCAUGGGGGGCAUGGAAUAUAACAAGUAAUAGGAGAAAUUAUAGCUAUUUUUGCCAUCAAAAAUCAACAUUAGAAAGACCUUUUUUCUGUACUAAUAUGAGAAAAAAACCUAUAUAAGUAGAGAGAGAGUUAUAGAAUUCAAAUAAGAGGGGGAAGAAUAUUUCUGAAAUGCAAACUAAUUUACAUGUCAUGGGUUAUAUAGGAAUUAGAUGCCAAACUUUCCAAUUGUUCAAAUAGCUGACCUUAAGUCCCUAAAUUCAAAGGAAAAAUACACUUGAAAUUAUGAAAUACAUCAAUUAUAUUAGCCUUACCAUUUUGCUCUUCCUGGCUGGUGUUUCUGCCACUGUUACUUUGACCCAGCCACCUGAAGCAUUUGCACUUCCAGGGAGAUCCAUUACUCUAACUUGUAAAGUAUCAGGAUACAAUAUCAAUGAUCACCAUUUGUACUGGGUUCGUCAAUCUAAUGGCAAAGAGCUUGUCUUUAUCACAGCCUUCAAGACUGGACAUACCACAUACACUGCCAAUGAAUUUAAGGGCCGUGUUACCCCUUCCACCCAAGGUUCAACAGCACAGCUAAGGAUAGAUGCUCUAAAAGUAGAUGAUACUGCCAUCUACUACUGCACAAGAAACACAGUGACUGAAUUUGGGACUGUUGCUGCCCAAUAUGUUACAUUUCGUUAUCCAACAAGGCAGAUACACAUAAAAAAACAUGAACAAGCAUGCAUCUAUGAAACAACUCAUUAUCUCAAGCAGGAUAACUAUAACACAGUUUCAUGGAGCAUUCAUACAUCCAUAUAA